rnacentral:rRNA from 1 species
GGGCUCACACAAGCGGUGGAGCAUGUGGAUUAAUUCGAAGCAACGCGCAGAACCUUACCUGGGUUUGACAUGCUUGGAUGCCGCCCUGGAAACAGGGUUGGCUGCCUUCGGGUGAAACUUGCACAGGUGCUGCAUGGCUGUCGUCAGCUCGUGUCGUGAGAUGUCGGGUUAAGUCCUUUAACGAGCGAAACCCCUGCCGUUAGUUGCCAUCGGGUCAUGCCGGGCACUUUAGCGGGACUGCCGGUGUCAAACCGGAGGAAGGUGGGGAUGACGUCAAGUCCUCAUGGCCUUUAUACCCAGGGCCUCACACGUGCUACAAUGGCGGCUACAGAGCGACGCAAAACCGCGAGGUGGAGCAAAUCGCAAAAAGGUCGCCCCAGUUCAGAUUGUAGGCUGGCAACUCGCCUACAUGAAGGCGGAAUCGCUAGUAAUCGCGUAUCAGCCAUGACGCGGUGAAUGUGUUCCUGAGCCUU